GGGGGCGACGGGACAGACAGCUGGGGACAAGACAAGACCCUGGAGGCCAGCCGCAGCCCCACAGAGACUCACCUCCUGCCACUCAAGGACGCCGCUCCAUGCCAGCAGCUUGUUGCUGAGCCGGUGCUCGCUCACGGCCAGACCCCCGAGGGUGAGCCCAGGUAUUUUCCAAAUUUUCUAUGAAGCACAAGGAGAUCUUUCCUUCCAGAAUACUAGCAAACACAAAAAAUUUUAUUUUAUGAGUGCUUAAAAAGAGAAAAACCUCAACAAACUUGCUCUCCACCCACGCAGGUGAUUCUCCACCCACGCAGGUGAUUCUGGCUUUUGGGCAGUCCUCAGAAGAUCAGAUAGAAAACCUGAGUAUCUUGGCGUUAGAAUGAGUUGGACAGAGAGUCGAUGUUGCCCCGGGGGCUUCAGGCACCAUACCGGACAUCCAGCAUCUGAGAUGAGUUAAAACGCACAGC
rnacentral:antisense_RNA from 1 species